UACAGAGGGUGCGAGCGUUGUCCGGAAUCACUGGGCGUAAAGGGCGCGUAGGUGGUGACCUAAGCGUGCGGUGAAAGCCCGAGGCUCAACCUCGGGUCGGCCGUGCGAACUGGGUCACUGGAGCAGAAUAGAGGCAGGUGGAAUUCCGGGUGUAGCGGUGAAAUGCGUAGAGAUCAGGAAGAACAUCGGUGGCGAAGGCGCUCUGCUGGACCAUAACUGACACUCAGGGACGAAAGCUAGGGGAGCGAAUGGG
rnacentral:rRNA from 1 species